ensembl:lncRNA
UGGAGCUGCCUGAAAGUUUCAGCUUGUUAUGACUAAUUGCAAACGCGCUCUCUCGUGGCUCCACCCACCACGCACGUUCGAACCAAUCAUAUUAUCCUCCCUGGGGUCCGUGUGCGUGUCUAACCGCGUCUGUCUGUUAAAGGUAGCAGGUUGUACAUGGCGAGCGGGUUACUCACUGAGGGUUGGUGAUUUGUGUAAUGGAAGCCGUCUCUGAACCGCAUUUAAUGACGGAGAACUACAGAGGUGGAGAGAAAACGCAGCACUGAGCAACUUGUAGACUUCACACCCGACUGUAGUGCCCAACGCCCGUGGUGGUGGCAGUGCAUGGCGUGUGUGUGGAAGCAGGAGUGGAUCUAAUCACAGCCUGUGAUAUUCGUCUGUGCACACAGGAUGCCUGGUUUCAGGUGAAGUCGUGUGUUCCCUGAUAGUCCAUGAUUGCUGGAGCUCUGGAAAUAGCAGGUGAGAUUGCAGGCCGGAGUCGCGUCACUGUCCAAGGAACCAAAAUCAACCUCCUCUGCUCCUGAGACCACAGUGUAACUGAGAGCCUAGACUACAUGGCUACUUGGAACAUGAACAUGUUGCAGACACAGGAUCUUAUGAAGUCAGCGCAGGCAGCCCUGGAAAAGAAGAGUCCGAAAGACGUGCCCUUCUCCAAGCUUUAAAGGAGAAGAUCCAGGGCUGUUGAAGCUGCGGUGGAACUGAGACAUCAUCAUCCACAUAUCUUUAGUUCUUCUUGCUAAGAGAACGAGAAACUCGGACACAACAGUACAUCCUGACCAUUGGUACUGUGUACACAUCAACAUACACACACGUCUCCAUGCUGGACAUCUCAGGAGCUUUCACACAGUGCUAGGAAUAUCCCGGGACAGAGAAACGCACCUUCUAAGUGAGCGAGUUUAGCGUCAACCGGUGAAAUUUGCUGUAGCGUGAACACUUCGCCUCUGUGAGCUUCACUCUCCGUAGGGUUCACUGUAAUUAGACAUAAAAUGUACAUAGUUUAUUUUUCAUGCAUUUAGGAUUUAAUGUUUAUUUUUUUUUUACUCUUCGAGGAACAGAAAUGAUCUUUCGAGGCAGCUUCUUCAUCACUACCUGCUCCGUUUGACUCAAAAAUGUAACGACCGGUUUCAAAAAGUCACGAUGUCUUCAGUUCAUGAGAUUUUACUGUUGAAUUUAAACAGGAAAUGUGAAAUAUUUUUCCCUUUGUUUCCUCUACUGUCUUUUUGCUGUGAUCUUGAACACAGUUGUAAUUUUUUUUAAAAAUAAUAAAAAAAAUGAUAAUUCUAGUUCUCUCACUUUCCUUGUCCUAAUUGUCCUGUAUCUGUUAAAUCCGUUUCAUCUCUGGUCUUUCUGUCUGUAUGAACACUUGUAGAAAUGACUUCUAGUCCAUAUUUUUAAAUGAUUCGUGAUUUUGAAUUUAAAUAAAGAUAUUCUUUAAUUCUGUAUUUUGUCAUUUAAUUAUCAUUAGAAAUCAGAAGAUCAGAUUAAAGCCACGGCUUCUUUACCUGCCGAAGCUGAUCAGCUGGAUAAA